rnacentral:rRNA from 1 species
AGAGUUUGAUCCUGGCUCAGAAUCAACGCUGGCGGCGUGCCUAACACAUGCAAGUCGUACGCGAAAGGGGCUUCGGCCCUGAGUAGAGUGGCAAACGGGUGAGUAACACGUGGGUGACCUGCCUUCGAGUGGGGGAUAACGUCCCGAAAGGGACGCUAAUACCGCAUGACAUCCUGCUCUUGGACGAGUGGAGAUCAAAGCCGGGGAUCGCAAGACCUGGCGCUUGAAGAGGGGCCCGCGCCUGAUUAGCUAGUUGGUGGGGUAAUGGCUCACCAAGGCAACGAUCAGUAUCCGGCCUGAGAGGGCGGACGGACACACUGGGACUGAGACACGGCCCAGACUCCUACGGGAGGCAGCAGUGGGGAAUUGUUCGCAAUGGGCGCAAGCCUGACGACGCAACGCCGCGUGGAGGAUGAAGAUCUUCGGGUCGUAAACUCCUGUCGAGCGGGACGAACACCUGCCGGGCUAACAUCCAGGCAGGCUGACGGUACCGCUAAAGGAAGCCCCGGCUAACUCCGUGCCAGCAGCCGCGGUAAUACGGGGGGGGCAAGCGUUGUUCGGAAUUACUGGGCGUAAAGGGCUCGUAGGCGGCCAACUAAGUCGGACGUGAAAUCCCCAGGCUCAACCUGGGAACUGCGUCUGAUACUGGAUGGCUUGAAUCCGGGAGAGGGAUGCAGAAUUCCAGGUGUAGCGGUGAAAUGCGUAGAUAUCUGGAGGAAUACCGGUGGCGAAAGCGGCAUCCUGGACCGACAUUGACGCUGAACAGCGAAAGCUAGGGGAGCAAACGGGAUUUAGAUACCCCGGUAGUCCUAGCCCUAAACGAUGAAUGCUUGGUGUAACGGGUAUCGAUCCCUGUUGUGCCGAAGCUAACGCAUUAAGCAUUCCGCCUGGGGAGUACGUCGCAAGCUGAAACUCAAGGAAUUGACGGGGGCCGCACUAGCGGUGGAGCAUGUGGUUCAUUCGACGGCACGCGUAAAUCUUCACCCAAG